rnacentral:piRNA from 1 species
CAGAAUGCAAGGUGUACUGAACUCCCA